UACGUAGGUGGCAAGCGUUAUCCGGAAUUAUUGGGCGUAAAGAGUGCGUAGGUGGUUACCUAAGCGCAAGGUUUAAUCUUGAGGCUCAACCUCAUUUUGCCUUGCGAACUGGGCUACUUGAGUGCAGGAGGGGAAAGCGGAAUUCCUAGUGUAGCGGUGAAAUGCGUAGAUAUUAGGAAGAACACCGGUGGCGAAGGCGGCUUUCUGGACUGUAACUGACACUGAGGCACGAAAGCGUGGGGAGCAAACAGGAUUAGAUACCCGCGUAGUCCCUGA
rnacentral:rRNA from 1 species